rnacentral:ribozyme from 11 species
CAAAAAUAAUAUUGGAUUUAUUUUUGGCUGGAUGUUGUUUGUUGUUUUUCUUAUUUUUUUUCUUUCCUUUCUCUGCAGAAUGAUUGGUGUUGGU